AACGAACGCUGGCGGCAGGCCUAACACAUGCAAGUCGAGCGCGCCUUCGGGUGAGCGGCGGACGGGUGAGUAACGCGUGGGAAUAUGCCCUUCUCUACGGAAUAGUCCUGGGACACUGGGGGUAAUACCGUAUACGCCCUUUGGGGGAAAGAUUUAUCGGGGAAGGAUUAGCCCGCGUUGGAUUAGGUAGUUGGUGGGGUAAUGGCCUACCAAGCCGACGAUCCAUAGCUGGUUUGAGAGGAUGAUCAGCCACACUGGGACUGAGACACGGCCCAGACUCCUACGGGAGGCAGCAGUGGGGAAUCUGAGAAAAUGGGGGCAACACUGAUCUAGCCAUGCCGGGUGAGUGAUGAAGGCCUUAGGGUUGUAAAGCUCUUUCAGCUGGGAAGAUAAUGACGGUACCAGCAGAAGAAGCCCCGGCUAAAUCCGUG
rnacentral:rRNA from 1 species